UGGGAAAACACAGGAUCCACGGAAAUGGGC
rnacentral:piRNA from 1 species